rnacentral:rRNA from 1 species
UACGUAGGGGGCAAGCGUUGUCCGGAUUUACUGGGCGUAAAGAGCGUGUAGGCGGCCAAGCAGGUCCGUUGUGAAAACUGGAGGCUUAACCUCCAGACGUCGACGGAAACCGCGUGGCUAGAGUCCGGAAGAGGAGAGUGGAAUUCCUGGUGUAGCGGUGAAAUGCGCAGAUAUCGGGAAGAACACCAACGGCGAAGGCAGCUCGCUGGGACGGUACUGACGCUGAGACGCGAAAGCGUGGGGAGCGAACAGG